UACAGAGGUCUCAAGCGUUGUCCGGAAUCAUUGGGCGUAAAGCGCGCGUAGGCGGCCCUGUAAGUCCGUUGUGAAAGUCAAAGGCUCAACCUUUGAAAGCCGAUGGAUACUGCAGGGCUAGAGUCCGGAAGAGGCGAGUGGAAUUCCUGGUGUAGCGGUGGAAUGCGCAGAUAUCAGGGAGGAACACCAAUAGCGAAGGCAGCUCGCUGGACGGUACUGACGCUAAGGCGCGAAAGCGUGGGAGCGAACAGG
rnacentral:rRNA from 1 species